GAUGAAGAACGUAGCGAAAUGCGAUAAGUAAUGUGAAUUGCAGAAUUCAGUGAAUCAUCGAAUCUUUGAACGCGCCUUGCACUCCUUGGUAUUCCGAGGAGUACGCCUGUUCGAGUGUUAUGAAGCUCUCAAAACGCAAUUGGCUUAAAACCUGAUUGUUGUUUUGGAUUUGAACUUUGCCGUGUUAUAACGGCUGGUUUUAAAAGUAUUAGCUGGUACUAGAACGAAUUGGUUCUACUCAACGUGAUAAUUAUCUGAUCGUUGAGGACAUUCCUUUCACGAGGAAUGGCCAUAGUAAAUUCAAUGGACUGCUUCUAAUCUGGCUUUAAUUCUUUAUUGGAUUAACCACUUUUCAAAUCUGACCUCGAAUCAGGUGGGACUACCCGCUGAACUUAAGCAUAUCAAUAAGCGGAGGA
rnacentral:misc_RNA from 1 species